AUGUGCAGUGUUCACAUUCCAUGGCAAACAGGCCGUCACAGGAGUGGAACUUCAUCAAACAAUGUACCUAAACGGUUCCACACCACCGUGGGCGGACCCACAAGGUAUGCCGGGCCCAGCUAUACGCCCGAGUGCCUGGUAUCCGAUUCGGCCAGCGACGAGUCGACGACUCCUCCGCCCGCCACGACUCCUCCGCCGCCGCACCAGGGCCAGCGCGUGGGACUGCAGAAGAAGGCCUUCUUCGAGGAGCACUACGCCAGGAAGAAGAAGCGAAAGAGCGAGGACCACGGCGCCGCCGCCUCCGCCGAUGACGGCGAUCUCGAGGCGGCCGAGGAGGAGGAUGGUGGUUCCGCCGCCUCGUGGCUGUCUUCUUCGUCGGCGGAGUCCUCCUGCAUGACGGACCAGGCACCGGCGCCGGGGGAUGAGGAGACGUGCGGCGGUGAGGAAACCGGCGUGGUGAACUGCUGUGGUCCCCGUGCCAGUGAUGAGCCGGUGGGAGUGGCCGAGGAGCUCGCGGCCGUCACAGAUGCGGUUAGUCCUUCUUGCAGGAUGGAUGCAUCCGUGGAUGCGUUGUGCCACGGGGAGGGCGGCAAUGAGCAAGUUGCUGGAGCUGUUUUGGAAUUGCUGGAGAAGAAAGAUCUGUGCUCGAGUAAUUUGGUGUCUGUUGAUGGCGUAGACAAGCAACCGCUGAAGGAGAGCUCUAUUAUUAAUCAGGAUAUCACGGAUUCAGCCAAGAAAAGGAGGCUCCAGAUGUCAUCCCUGCUUCAGAAGCCAACCAAAUUCAGAUCUCCCCCUUCAGGAAAGAAAGGGCAGUCUUCAUCAGUGAAAAGACGGUCGCCUCUGCAUUCUGCCAAGGAGAACACCUCCCCUCCUGGUACGGACAAUAACAUGCAAGUAGCCACUUCAGUCCCCCAAAAAGGUCCACAUUAGCGGCAUUGCAAAUGCUAAGAGUUUCACGAGAUGUGAAACGGGAAAUGCUGCCUCAGGCUCAAGCAAUCUUGGUAUUACAAUUGCUGAAAGGAUUAGCCAGUUGGAGUCUGCAAGUAGGCCUGUGGCAACCACUCAGCUUGAGGAAUUCGGGCCACCAAGAAAAGCAUUUUCCCCAAUUUUGCCAGAAAUAGCUCUAGGGACAUCUCAAGUGGAUUGACAAAGGUACCAUUUGAAAGCCAAAAGCUAUAUGAAUAUCAUCGACUGCUGUAGGACUUGAUCAGAAGGAAAUGAAUUUAUAUUGUGAUUUGUUAUUGUUUCUAGCUAAAUCUUUGAAUUUAAGACUUAUCAUGUUAUUUAGUGCAUGUGGUAUUCCGAAUUAGAAUAUGAUUUUACCAAAUUGUAAAUGGUUUUAUCGAAUUGCAUAAGAUUUUUUUCAGCAUACCCUGUGGU